rnacentral:rRNA from 1 species
UUUUGGACGAUGGGGGCAACCCUGAUCCAGCCAUGCCGCGUGAGUGAAGAAGGCCCUCGGGUUGUAAAGCUCCUUCGGACGGAACGAAAUGGGCGGGACUAAUACUCCUGUCUGAUGACGGUACCGUAAGAAGAAGCACCGGCUAACUACGUGCCAGCAGCCGCGGUAAUACGUAGGGUGCGAGCGUUAAUCGGAAUUACUGGGCGUAAAGCGUGCGCAAGCGGUUUCGUAAGCUGGAGGUGAAAUCCCCGGGCUUAACCUGGGAAUGGCCUUCAGGACUGCGAGGCUAGAGUGCGGCAGAGGGAGGUGGAAUUCCACGUGUAGCAGUGAAAUGCGUAGAGAUGUGGAGGAACACCGAUGGCGAAGGCAGCCUCCUGGGCCAGCACUGACGCUCAUGCACGAAA